GACGAACGCUGGCGGCGUGCUUAACACAUGCAAGUCGAACGGAAAGGCUCCAGCUUGCUGGAGUACUCGAGUGGCGAACGGGUGAGUAACACGUGGGUAAUCUGCCCUGCACUCUGGGAUAAGCCUGGGAAACUGGGUCUAAUACUGGAUAUGACCUUUCUCCUUAUGGGGUUUGGUGGAAAGUUUUUCGGUGUAGGAUGAGCCCGCGGCCUAUCAGCUUGUUGGUGGGGUGAUGGCCUACCAAGGCGACGACGGGUAGCCGGCCUGAGAGGGUGAUCGGCCACAUUGGGACUGCGAUACGGCCCAGACUCCUACGGGAGGCAGCAGUGGGGAAUAUUGCACAAUGGGCGGAAGCCUGAUGCAGCGACGCCGCGUGAGGGAUGACGGCCUUCGGGUUGUAAACCUCUUUCAGCAGGGACGAAGCGUAAGUGACGGUACCUGCAGAAGAAGCACCGGCUAACUAUGUG
rnacentral:rRNA from 1 species